rnacentral:rRNA from 1 species
AAUCAACGCUGGCGGCGCGCUUAACACAUGCAAGUCGAACGAGAAAGGGGAGCAAUCCCUGAGUAAAGUGGCGUACGGGUGAGUAACACGUGGAUGAUCUACCUCUUGAUGGGGGAUACCUCUGGGAAACCGGAGACAAUACCGCAUAAGCUCGGGAGAGGAAAGCCGAAAGGCGUCGAGAGAGGAGUCCGCGGCCGAUUAGCUAGUUGGUAGGGUAAAAGCCUACCAAGGCAAAGAUCGGAGCCGGCCUGAGAGGGCACACGGCCACACUGGCACUGAAACACGGGCCAGACUCCUACGGGAGGCAGCAGUGGGGAAUCUUGCACAAUGGGGGCAACCCUGAUGCAGCGACGCCGCGUGAGCGAUGAAGCCCUUCGGGUGUAAA